UAUGAAAGAACUGCCGAAGACAGCAGGUGCCGCAAGGCAUAAGGAUGAACACGCCUGCCGAGGAGUAAAGAAUUUCAAUAUACUGAAAUGAUUUAUGAACCUCUCUGUUUUUGGAACAGAGAGGUUUUUU
rnacentral:sRNA from 1 species